UUAAACAAGUUGAGCAGGAAAGUAGAAUUGAGGACUGUGUUUAGAGAGACAACGGCUGGUGAGAGUUGUUCACAAGGACUAAUUUGAAAAUGGCCUGUGAUUGGCGUUAAUGAGCAGCAAGUCUGUGAGUUAACGACGGGGUGGUCACCGUUAUCAAGACACACGAAUCGGCACAGCAUCAUUUCGCUCCCUGCCUGCUCGUUGUAAGGUCUAAGUAAGUGAUUACUUAGACGAAGUAGAAUGGUACCACGGACAACCCGUUUCUAUU
rnacentral:ncRNA from 1 species